rnacentral:rRNA from 1 species
GCGAAAACUUUACAAUGCUGGCAACAGCGAUAAGGGAACCUCGAGUGCCAGGUUACAAAUCUGGCUGUCGAGAUGCCUAAAAAGCAUUUCAUAGCAAGGGCCGGGCAAGACCGGUGCCAGCCGCCGCGGUAACACCGGCGGCUCGAGUGGUAACCGUUAUUAUUGGGUCUAAAGGGUCUGUAGCCGGUCGGAUAAGUCUCUUGAGAAAUCUGGCAGCUUAACUGUCAGGCUUUCAGGAGAUACUGUCUGUCUCGAGGCCGGGAGAGGUGAGAGGUACUUCAGGGGUAGGGGUGAAAUCUUGUAAUCCUUGAAGGACCACCAGUGGCGAAGGCGUCUCACCAGAACGGACCUGACGGCAAGGGACGAAAGCUAGGGGCACGAACC